UACGGAGGGUGCAAGCGUUGUCCGGAAUCACUGGGCGUAAAGGGCGCGUAGGCGGCUCAUGAAGCUGUGGUGAAAGUCCGGGGCUCAACUCCGGGCCUGCAGCCGAUAACGGGCAGACUAGAGUUCGGCAGGGGAGACUGGAAUUCCUGGUGUAGCGGUGAAAUGCGCAGAUAGUCAGGAGGAACACCGGUGGCGAAGGCGGGUCUCUGGGCCGAUACUGACGCUGAGGAGCGAAAGCGUGGGGAGCGAACAGG
rnacentral:rRNA from 1 species